rnacentral:rRNA from 1 species
GACAGAGGCCUCAAGCGUUAGGCGGAAUCACUGGGCUUAAAGCGUGUGUAGGCGGAUCGUUAAGUGUCUUGUGAAAUCCCACGGCUCACCCGUGGAACGGCUGGGCAUACUGGCGAUCUUGGGCCAACUAGGGGCAACUGGAACAAGCGGUGGAGCGGUGAAAUGCGUAGAUAUCGUCUGGAACGCCAACGGUGAAAACAGACUGCUGGGAGUGUGCUGACGCUGAGACACGAAAGCCAGGGGAGCAAACGGG